GAUUCAACAGUGUCUGAAUACUGUAGGAUCUUAUUAUUGAGAUUUAUUGGUUUUAUGUUUGUUAGUAAAAUAUUGUUUGGUUGUUGUAUAUUUAUUGAUUUGAUUAUUUUUAUUAUAGUUUAUUUUUACUGUGAGGGGUUGAUUAUUGUAAUUAUGUUUUUGUAAGUUGAUUUCGUUGAUUGUACCUUGUGUAUCAGGGUUUACUAAUUUUUAUUAUUUAUUUUUGUUUCCCGAUUUCAGAGGGGCUAAUAAAUUAUUUUGUUUACUGUAUCAUUAUUAUCAGUAAUAUUUUAUUAGUGAUGAGAUGUUAUUCGUUUCUGGUGGUAUCUGGUUUCCUGGGAAAUAAAUUUAAUUUACACUUUUUUGUAUUACAUACCUUUUUUAUGGGUUUGUUUAACAUGAAGUGAAAAUUUUGGGGGAUAAGCUUCGAUUUUUAUUUUUAUAAUUUUGUUUUAGGUGAGCUUUAUGUGGGCUUUAUGUUGGCUAUCGAUUUAAGUAUGUUAAAAUUUUACUUUCUUUUAUUUUAAUUUUUUUUUGUUAUUUAAUUUUUUAUUGGGAUGUUUAGUUUAUUAAUUUUUCUAUUGCGAUUUUGGUGGAAUUAGUAUAUUUUCUUUUAUGAGGUUUUUGCUGAUUUAUAAUUUUAUAAGAGGAAUUAGGCAAAUUCAGAUGCCCGCCUGUUUAACAAAAACAUCUCUUCUUGAUUGUUUGUUUUGAAGUAUGGCCUGCCCACUGAUUUAUUGAAGGGCCGCGGUAUUUUGACCGUGCAAAGGUAGCAUAAUCAUUAGUUUUUUAAUUGUAAACUGGUAUGAAUGGUUUAACGAGGUAUUAGCUGUCUUUAUUAAAUUAUUUUGUUGAAUUUAAUUUUUGGGUAAGAAUGCCCAAGUUUUUUUAUGGGACGAGAAGACCCUAUAGAGUUUUAUAUAGUUUUAUUAUUUGUUGGUUUGUUUAUUGAUUUUAAUUUGUCUGUAUUUUGUUGGGGUGAUGGGAAGGUAAGGUAAACCCUUCUUUAUUUUAUACAUUUAUUUAUGUUUUUGUGAUUCUUUAAUAUUGAUUAUAAGAUUAAAUUACCUUAGGGAUAACAGCGUAAUCUUUUUUGAGAGUUCUUAUUGACAAUAAGGUUUGCGACCUCGAUGUUGGAUUAAGAUGAAUUUUUGGCGUAGAGGUUUUAUUGAAUUUGUUAUUAGGUCUGUUCGACCUUUAAAAUCUUACAUGAUCUGAGUUCAAACCGGUGUGAGCCAGGUUGGUUUCUAUCUAUAAUUUGUGAAAUUUCUUAGUACGAGAGGACCAGAUAUUUUAAAUAAUUUGAUUUUCUUAUGAUUUUCAUUAAGUUGCUAAUUUGGCAGAUAAGUGCGGUGGAUUUAGAAUCUAUU
rnacentral:rRNA from 1 species